ensembl:lncRNA
GGCAAAAUGCUGGAAAACUAAAUGUUGGAAAAUGUAAUAUUGCAGGGGAAAAUUGACACUUGUAGAAAAUAACGUGGGCCUAUUUAGAACCACAAAUGGUAAUCAUUUCUUUAAGACCAUGUGCUGUAGAGGUUUCUGUGAUGGGUGACCCAGGUGAAGGACACAGCGCUGGGCGUGAAUCGUGUUCUGCUGGCUGUGGUGCGCGUGCACAGAUUUCUCAGAAGACAGGUCAGAUGGUCUGUUAUUCACAUCUCUUGAAGAAUUUUCCACAGUUUGUUGUGAUCUACACAGUCAAAGGCUUUGGCAUAAAGCAG